GACGAACGCUGGCGGCGUGCCUAAUACAUGCAAGUUGAGCGCUGAAGGUUGGUACUUGUACCCACUGGAUGAGUAGCGAACGGGUGAGUAACGCGUGGGGAAUCUGCCUUUGAGCGGGGGACAACAUUUGGAAACGAAUGCUAAUACCGCAUAAAAACUUUAAACACAAGUUUUAAGUUUGAAAGAUGCAAUUGCAUCACUCAAAGAUGAUCCCGCGUUGUAUUAGCUAGUUGGUGAGGUAAAGGCUCACCAAGGCGAUGAUACAUAGCCGACCUGAGAGGGUGAUCGGCCGCACUGGGACUGAGACACGGCCCAAACGCCUACGGGAGGCAGCAGUAGUGAAUCUUCGGCAAUGGACGAAAGUCUGACCGAGCAACGCCGCGUGAGUGAAGAAGGUUUUCGGAUCGUAAAACUCUGUUGGUAGAGAAGAACGUUGGUGAGAGUGGAAAGCUCAUCAAGUGACGGUAACUACCCAGAAAGGGACGGCUAACUACGUG
rnacentral:rRNA from 1 species